rnacentral:rRNA from 1 species
GGGGAAUUUUGGACAAUGGGCGAAAGCCUGAUCCAGCAAUGCCGCGUGUGUGAUGAAGGCCUUCGGGUUGUAAAGCACUUUUGGUAGGAACGAAACGGUCCGGGCUAAUACCCUGGACUAAUGACGGUACCUGCAGAAUAAGCACCGGCUAACUACGUGCCAGCAGCCGCGGUAAUACGUAGGGUGCAAGCGUUAAUCGGAAUUACUGGGCGUAAAGCGUGCGCAGGCGGUUUUGCAAGACCGAUGUGAAAUCCCCGGGCUUAACCUGGGAACUGCAUUGGUGACUGCAAGGCUAGAGUGUGUCAGAGGGAGGUGGAAUUCCGCGUGUAGCAGUGAAAUGCGUAGAUAUGCGGAGGAACACCGAUGGCGAAGGCAGCCUCCUGGGAUAACACUGACGCUCAUGCACGAAAGCGUGGGGAGCAAAC